rnacentral:snRNA from 1 species
GUUCACUUUGGCAGCACAUAUACUAAAAUUGGAAUAAGAGAAGAUUAGCAUGGCCCCAUGCAAGGAUGACAUGCAAAUUCAUGAAGCAUUCCUUCUUUUU